AUGGAGGAAUGGGACAGUGCUAGAAUUGGAAACAAGGGACCCUGUUUGCCUCAGUCAACUGAAUGGCCAUAUCAUAUUGGAUUUUCUCCUCUGAGAAAAGGAUGCCAAGGAAACAUCCAAGUUAAUUUCGAUAUGCUGGGAAAAUUAAACUGGACCCUUUCUUCCUAUGGUGUGUUGGAUUGGCCAGAAAGGAGGCAAGCUUCAGGUCAUUUUAGAAAUGCAGUGCCAGUAAGGAAGGAUAAAUGAGCUCUAAGGAAUGGGGGGGGGGGGGAGGCCCUCAUUAGAAUAUGUGGUGCUGUCAAUUUUAUAUCUGUAUAAAAAUUAGUCAAAUGCCAACAUGGAACUUAUGUAUUGUGAAAAUGGUUUGUUUUUGUGGUCAAAGUACAAACUGAACAAAUGUGCAAACUUUCAUGAGGUGGGGACUGUUUUGGUAGCAAAGCCCCACAACAAUAUUUGCAACCUUUCUCCCUCCCAACUCCUCUUCCUUCCUCCCCCC
rnacentral:lncRNA from 1 species